CGCGCAGGCGGUCUUGUCCGUCAGGUGUGAAAGCUCGGGGCUCAAUCCCGGAAGUGCACUUGAAACAGCAAGACUUGAAUACGGGAGAGGAAAGCGGAAUUCCUGAUGUAGAGGUGAAAUUCGUAGAUAUCAGGAGGAACACCGAUGGCGAAGGCAGCUUUCUGGACCGAUAUUGACGCUGAGGCGCGAAGGCGUGGGUAGCGAACAGGAUUAGAUACCCUGGUAGUCC
rnacentral:rRNA from 1 species